CUUAGACUCCCAAGUAGCUGGGAUUACAGGCAUGUGCCACCACACCUGGCUAACUGGCCUCAAGAAGUAACCCCCUGCUUUGGCCCCCCAAAGUUCUGGGAUUACAGGUGUCAGCCCCCGCACCCAGCAAGUUAUAUAGCCUUAAUGUAAUCCAAUGGAAAAUAGUUUUUCAAAAUUCCUUCUGUAGAAUCCACCUGCAAACAAUAUUUGCCAGGGACUUUAUUAAAGAUCACAUAGCAGCUUUAGUUCGGGAUUUUGUGAGAAAAUGCAAACAGCUUUUGUGGACUCCAGAGGUAGUAAUGUUACCAUGGAACCCUUUGUCUAUCUUGUGGACUCAUCCCUUCAACAUCAUUUCUUUUCUGCUUCUUUUGUUCUUUUAUAGGCACAAAACAGCAAUAUCACCUACCCCUCCCAUUGUCUUCUUUAGAGUAAGUUCUCUCUUCUGAAGCCUUGGUAUAGGCUGACAUCCUUCUUUUAUAUUUUACUGAAUUGCAGGUCAGAGCUUGGUCUCUCUCAUCCUGUAUCUUCUUCAGCUUGAGCAAAAUUUCAUCCACACUUGAACUGCCAAGUUGCAUGGAAUGACUCAGAUGUUAAACUACCAUUGCUUCAACACAUAUGAGUAACACAUAAAACUAGAGAAACAAACUUAACUCAGAUGUUAAGCUAUCAUUGCUUCAACACAUGAGUAAUAUUAUACAAAACUAGAGAAACAAAACAAAACUUGUACCUGAUUUGCACUGGCACCUGAUGUGUCUUACAUUGCAGUUGCAUUGACCUUCCCAGUAUAAAAGGAUAUGGCUGCUGCUUCUUUUCCACUUUUCAAAUGUCAUCUAAAGUGUCUCCACAGAGAACUAUGGAGCACAUUAAACUUUUAGCUCUGAGUGUUCAACCUGUAUGUAUUCUAGCUAUUAUGAAUGUACUCCUCUAUGAAUUUACACCAGCACAUUAUUUUCUCUGUGAGGUAGAGAAAAGUGAAAGAAAAUUAGAUGUGAUAUAAAUUAGAUCAAUAGCUUGUAUAGGGAAACAUAUUCAUAUUUGUAAGUAAUUUUAUUAGUUCAUUUCCUGGUUUCACAUACCUACAGUUAAAUGUCUUCACUGUGAAGACAAUACCUGUGUCUUGAAAUAAUUUUCAUGAAUUCUCUUAUUUUCCCAAGUCUGAGAAGAAUUAAUUCUUCAAGAUGUCAGAAUUAGAAAAGGGUUUCAAUGGUUAGAAUUACAAAACUCAUCCAUGCCAUAAUUAAGAACAUUGUUCUCUUAUGACUGAAUUAAUUUCAGCAUGAAUGUGGCUUUCAGAAUAAUCUAUUGGAGGGAAUCUUAAGUUUCUAAUAAUUUAAUAAUAUUUACAUUUUACCCAAAGAAAACUAUUUAAAACAAAAUCAUUUGGAAAAAUAGAAGUUGACAAAAUAUUAACCUAAAGCUUUAAAUGUAGAAUUUUCUCCUUUAUCACUCUAAAUUUGAAUGGAUUACAUGAAAUAAGUUGUUGGAAAAAAAUUUAUUAAAUAGUAUCCCCCUGAGUGUAAUAGAUAUACGUUUUACUAGACAAGUUUGAAUCAGAGAAACAGAGCUCCUAGGAAUGAUAAUGACCAGAGGAUUGACUACAUGGAUUCCAACUUACACAUUUGUAGGAGCUUGUUAAACUAUAUAAACCUGCUUUUUUCUACAUUAGACACUGAGACUGAAGUCAGGAAGGCAGGCCAUUGGGAAGGAAAUAUGGUGAAGUGGGGAAGGAACAAGACAAAUUAGAACACAUAAGAGUGAGCUGGAACACAUGUAGGUCUUUUGUCAGCUCCAAGUUCCAACAUCAGUGUUGUUUCUGACUAGAUAUAAAACUGGUGGCCUUUCCUAUGAAGCUAAACACAGCACUGGCCCAAGAGUCAGAGAAGAUAAAGGAAGAGACUCAACAGGAGUUGGACGAGCAAGUCCUGUUGCUGGUAUAGACACUGCAUUCACUGGCCAAGGAUUUGGAGAAGCUGAAGGAGGAGAUACAGCUGUUGCUGGAGUGACUGUUGGCUGGCCCUGCUCCACUUAGACAAGAACACUUGCAGAUACACUUGAAUAAGAAGAGAAAGGGCCUGUAUCCAAGGCUAUCACAGAGGCAGCUAAGACUGCCAAGCAGCUGACCUCUGAAGUACAGGCUCUGCUGACAAUUUGAAACAUAAACACAGAUUUGCAUCUUGAUUGAAGCAAAGGCAUCCGUCUUUUCCCAGAUAGCAAGAAGUUUGGUUGCUGUGGCAACAUGUUGACUAAGGAAUUUAAAAAUAAAGGUGGCUCAUUUCCAAAUCGUUUUUCUACCUUUUCUUCAUGAAAAAAGCACACACUGGUAAGAAACUUCCACUGGAGUUUUUAUAACCAAUAAGCCUAUUGUUUGCUGAAAGAUUACAUCCCCAAACUUGCAUGUUAAGUAGGUGAGAAUGUGUACAUUUGGCUUUCAUAUACUUUUAAAUCAUAAAACAUGGAACUACCUCAUUUUAAACAACUUUUCCUUCCCUCUCUCCCUUUUUCC